rnacentral:tRNA from 1 species
GUCGUCGUGGCCGAGUGGUUAAGGCGACAGACUUGAAAUCUGUUGGGCUCUGCCCGCACAGAUUCGAAUCUUGUCGGCGACG